GGCCGCGUGGCCCAAUGGCAAGGCGCUUGACUACGAUCCAGUAGAUCAUCAAGAGAUUCCAGGUUCGACCCCUGGCGUGGUCA